GUCACUGUUUACCAGAUGUAAUAACAAGAUUGCGGAUGAUGGAACAGUAGAAGGUGUGAAAACAAGAUGGCAGACAGUGGAACAGUUGAAGAUGUCUUUGGUGGUCGUUUUUAAAUUACUCAGAUGUGUGUGUGUGCGUUUGUGAGCGCGCGGGCGUGUGAAAAGAGAGAGAGACUGAGGGGAGGGAGAGAGAAUAGGUGAAUUGUAUUUUUGGGUGGACUUCGUUCAUAUUACUAUGAAGUUAUUGGAUGCGACUGAGUGUUUUCUAGAAGACAUAUGACAUCAUCUACAUAACGAUACCAAUAUAUUACUCGUUGCAGGUGACAAAUUGUAAAGAAAAACAGUCACUGUAAAAACAUAAUACAGCAAGAAAACCACACAACCACACCAUGUGGUAAGAAGGGAAUGCUCUACUGUGAAAAACUGUAUCAACUGCUAUAUGUGAGGUGGCUGGAGUUUAGUGGUCCUGCAGACCAGUAUUCCUUUGAAAUGUGUUGUCGUGUCUUUGGAUCCAUAGAAGGUAUUACUCCUGUAAGAAGUUGCUGUUUCGUCUCAUACAGCACUGACGUCUAUUUUAUAGGAAUGAUGAUUUACAUCAGGCGAAUUUGGUCACCAAGACACCGAUGUAAGUUCACUAUAAUGCUCCUCAAAUCAUUGCAGCAUGGUUCUGGCUCCAAGACACAGACAGUCAUACUGCUGAAAGAUGACACAGCUGUCGGGGAAGACAUCAAGCAUGAAGGGGUGCAGGUGGUUCGCAGCUGUCACGGGUCCCAUGCUAGUACAAGAGUUUCCCAUAACAUAAUACUGCUCCCAUCAGCCAUAAAAUAACAGUGUCUCUUGCAACUUGAUUGUCUGCAUCAAAAAUGCUCCUUAUCCGUUGGAUGAAGCACAAACACGCCCUUGGAAAAAUACACAGCACAUUCAGCCUAUGGGAUAUUCAUUUCAUCCCAAUAUUUCAACCUUCCACCACAAUGAAAACACGUGGUUUCAUCUCCAUCACCAGUAUAAAAGAAUCCAGCUUCACUUAGUUAGUUAGUUAGUUAGGGCAUUGCUUAAUAGCUAAAGACUAACCUUUGAAAGAUGUCAGCCUUGCAUCAUAUGUUCUAUAUUUAGUGUGAGCUACCCUAAUUUACUGUAUAUCACACACUGAACUCCAUAACAAUGCUGAUUUAGGAGAUAAAACAGAGUUUGACCUACCCAACACCCUCAGACAUUGACUAUGUACAGAGCGACCUGCUUCCAAAGCUCUCUUUAUAUAUAGCCUACUCUAAUGACCCAAGAUGCUGUCACUACUGCUCACAUGAUCAUAACAUUGCUUCAGAACACCGAGCAACUUUGAGAAAUUCUGACAAUGCUCACUUGUAUAAAAUUUGCAUCCUGGAUGAAAUGGGCGAACUGUUCAUUUCCUGCAUAUUGCUGCAUGUAUUAACUGUGAACCUACAAUUUCCUCAUGUAUUGUGAGUCAGAGAUCUGUUUCAGCUACAGUAAGGGCAUUUUUGAUGAAUGCAAUGAUGUAUUGUACAAUGUAUUUUUCGUGCUGAGUUAAAAAAACAUUGUGAAGAAUAAAGCAUUAUUGUUAAAAUGUGUUCUUUUCAUGUUUUUUCCUACAUCAAUCACACUUAGACCUGUUCUUUGAUAGUUAUGAAUACAUAGUGAUCUUAACACCUCCUGACCUGUGCUGAAGAAUUGCUAUCUUUUUAGUGUUGAAGUAUGGAACCGACAUAAAAUACUACAAUUCUGUCAAUGUAUUCAGUCUCCCAGGGGUUUGAAAAACAUUUCACCACCAGCAGAGUACUGUUUUUAAAAUCUAUGCUACAGAGUUCCA